CGGGCUGUAGUAUAGUGGUAGUACGCACGCUUCGGGUGCGUGUAGCCCCGGUUCAAGUCCGGGCAGCCCGA
rnacentral:tRNA from 1 species